rnacentral:rRNA from 1 species
GUAGUCCACGCCGUAAACGAUGAGUGCUAAGUGUUAGAGGGUUUCCGCCCUUUAGUGCUGCAGCUAACGCAUUAAGCACUCCGCCUGGGGAGUACGGCCGCAAGGCUGAAACUCAAAGGAAUUGACGGGGGCCCGCACAAGCGGUGGAGCAUGUGGUUUAAUUCGAAGCAACGCGAAGAACCUUACCAGGUCUUGACAUCCUCUGACACUCCUAGAGAUAGGACUUUUCCCUUCGGGGAACAGAGUGACAGGUGGUGCAUGGUUGUCGUCAGCUCGUGUCGUGAGAUGUUGGGUUAAGUCCCGCAACGAGCGCAACCCUUGUUCUUAGUUGCCAGCAUUUAGUUGGGCACUCUAAGGAGACUGCCGGUGAUAAACCGGAGGAAGGUGGGGAUGACGUCAAAUCAUCAUGCCCCUUAUGACCUGGGCUACACACGUGCUACAAUGGAUGGUACAAAGGGCUGCAAGACCGCGAGGUUUAGCCAAUCCCAUAAAACCAUUCUCAGUUCGGAUUGUAGGCUGCAACUCGCCUACAUGAAGCCGGAAUCGCUAGUAAUCGCGGAUCAGCAUGCCGCGGUGAAUA